rnacentral:tmRNA from 1 species
GGGGGCGACCUGGUUUCGACGGGGGCAAAGACGUUCUGCGACGCGUGUCGAGCCGGUUCCGGGGCUCGUAAAAAUCUGGGGCAAAACCAAAAAAAGCCAACGACAACGUUGAGCUUGCUCUCGCGGCCUAGCGGCUGCUGAGCACGGCCCCCACGCUUCCGCCCAUGAGCGUGGACCAGGGCCGCCAUCAGUGGGCUGGCCUGCCGGUAUCUCCGGGCUGGUGGGCGAGACAAACGGAGAUCGGUCCCGGCGUAUCCCGUCCGUGGGAGACGUCGAGGACCUAAAAAAUUCGCGGACUACACACGUAGGGUCGUAGAGCAGAAGGCUUCCGGACGAGGGUUCGAUUCCCUCCGCCUCCACAG